rnacentral:rRNA from 1 species
UACGAAGGGGGCUAGCGUUGCUCGGAAUGACUGGGCGUAAAGGGCGCGUAGGCGGUUUGUACAGUCAGAUGUGAAAUUCCUGGGCUCAACCUGGGGGCUGCAUUUGAUACGUGCGGACUUGAGUGAGGAAGAGGGUCGUGGAAUUCCCAGUGUAGAGGUGAAAUUCGUAGAUAUUGGGAAGGACACCGGUGGCGAAGGCGGCGACCUGGUCCUUGACUGACGCUGAGGCGCGAAAGCGUGGGGAGCAAACAGG